rnacentral:tRNA from 1 species
UGAUGUAGCUCAGUUGGUAGAGCACCGCAUUGGUAGUGCGGAGGUCUCGGGUUCAAAUCCCGUCAUCA